rnacentral:hammerhead_ribozyme from 1 species
AUCCCCAUGAAGAGUCCAAAAUAGGACGAAACGUGCGUCCUGAAU